rnacentral:lncRNA from 1 species
GAGAUUGUGAUAGUCUGGAAUGUCUUUCAAUAAUUGUAACAUCCUGAUUUUCAGUGGUGACGGAACAGUUUUUUGGGACCACAAAUUUCUGUCAUAUUGACUCAUAAAUGUUAUUUUUAGAAUAUUUAUAGAGUCAAUAUAGUCAUAUUAAAAUUUGGUUUAGAAAUGUUAACAUUUAGAUAGUUAAUUAAAAAAAUGACUAAACUGAAAAAGGUGUAAAACUUGUUAAUUAAUGCAUUUAGAUGAUUAAAUGGGUUAUUUAAUAAUUAAGGAAGGACUUAAGUGAUAAUUAAACCCUAGUUAUAUUUUGG